AGUGGCGCACGGGUGCGUAACACGUAUGCAUCUGCCCCUAACUGGAAGAUAGCCCGGCGAAAGUCGGAUUAAUAUUCCAUAACACGGCAUCGUUAAAGCUCCGGCGGUUAGGGAUGAGCAUGCGCGACAUUAGCUAGAUGGCGAGGUAACGGCUCGCCAUGGCUACGAUGUCUAGGGGGUCUGAGAGGAUUAUCCCCCACACUGGUACUGAGACACGGACCAGACUCCUACGGGAGGCAGCAGUAGGGAAUAUUGGGCAAUGGACGCAAGUCUGACCCAGCCAUGCCGCGUGCAGGAUGACGGCCUAUGGGUUGUAAACUGCUUUUGUACAGGAAGAAACCCCUUUACGUGUAGAGGGCUGACAUUACUGUAAGAAUAAGGAUCGGCUAACUCCGUGCCAGCAGCCGCGGUAAUACGGAGGAUCCAAGCGUUGUCCGGAUUUAUUGGGUUUAAAGGGUGCGUAGGCGGACCAUUAAGUCAGAGGUGAAAGUUUGCAGCUUAACUGUAAAAUUGCCUUUGAAACUGGUGGUCUUGAGUACAGUUGAGGUGGGCGGAAUGUGUCAUGUAGCGGUGAAAUGCUUAGAUAUGAUACAGAACACCGAUUGCGAAGGCAGCUCACUUAACUGUUACUGACGCUGAGCACGAAAGCGUGAGCAGCGAACAGGAUUAGAUACCCU
rnacentral:rRNA from 1 species